UCCCUCUUAGCUCAGUGGUAGAGCGCGUCACUAGUAUCCCUAGCCUUCGCGCCUUGUGCAUGUAUGACGAGGUCAGUCGUUCAAGUCGGCUAGAGGGAA